CUAGGUAUCUUUUCUCAUUAAUAGUUUCCAUUAUUAAUUAAUAGUUUGCAUAAUUUAGUUAAUAAAUCUUCUCCACCAUUUUUGUUUCUAAUUUGCCUAAAAUAUUGUGGGCCUAAGUGCAAAAUUAGGGUCCACAUGACCUAAUUUAAUUAAAUGCGCAAUUAGGGUUCCACGACCUCAUUAAAUGUGCUAAUUAGGGUUCGCAUAACCUAAUGGAAUGAAGACGGAAAAGUCGAAAAUAAAUGUGCUAGACCCGAGAGAAGCCUCCACGUGUCCCGAGGCAGAAGGCUCGUAGAGGCAGCUCAUUUUGGGAAUUGAUUGAGGGAUUGAAUUGGUGGCUAGAAGGAUAGGACAAUCUGGCAUUACUCUGAUGAUUAAAGGGUAUUUCUAGAAUUUUCCUGAAAGCAUGUGCCUGGCACAUGACCACUUUUCAGAAAACCCUAUAAAUACCCCUCCAUUUUAUUGGGAAGGGGACCUCUCUUCAGACACAGGACUUGGAUUCUUGGAAGAUCAAAGGACCUGGACAUUCUCUCUCAACACUCAGGAAGACUCUUGGAAUCCCAAUAACCCUAAUAAGGUUUCCGGAUUCUAGGGGUGAAAGGACUCAAGAAGAAGGCUCUUGGAAGCCCAAUAACCCAAACACGGUUUCCGGAUUCUAGGAGUUCUGCCACGCGUCAUUGGAAUAAUCGUCCACCUGUCGUUCUCCCCUCUUCAAUCAAUCAAUCAAUUUCGUGCUCUUCGUGGAUUCCUCUCCUCCUCAGCCAACACGAAAUCCUAACUUGCAAGGCACCAUUUCCUUGCCCACAUUUCUUUGGCGACUCUGCUGGGGAGGUGUAGAAUUUGUGAAGGGUAUGCCCACAACUCGAAGUGGGAGAACAACAAGAAGAGUUUCACCAACAAAUAGCAUUACAUCACCGGAUCCGGUUCCAAAGCAAUCAAGUCAAGCUUUCCAAGGCGUGAAUCUAAAUUUCGAGCAACCCAUCCUUGAAGACGCCUCAGAAGGAAGUUCAACAUCAUCAUACAUGGCUGAUCAACAACUAACGAAUGUCAGGCAGACAAGCGUGGGAAGGCAAGGCGAGGAAGAAAGUGGGGAGCAGGCAAAUGUUGUGCAACUGGAGAUGCUCAAGGCGUUGAAGGAAGCACGAGAAUGACACGGGAUGAUAAUGGCUAUGAUGCUGGAGUUGCAGAGAAAGCAAGAGAAAAUGGGAAAUUUCCGCCCGUAGUUGAUGCAGAUUCCCGUUUUCAAGGCCAUGUUCCCAGAUAAUUCACAUGGAGAACAAGCAGGAGUGGAAGACAACAACAACGACAGUAACAAUAAGGAGAAUCAGACCGCACCUCCAUUGACGGAGAAUCAGUAUGUUCCAAUCAUCCACUUGGAACCUCAGAACAGUGGUGACGUGCCACAACCCGACUGGAAGUCAGCCAGCCUCAGACAAACAUCAUUCCGACCACUAUCCCCGUAUUUUCAUAAGUGCAGAUACCAAUCAUCCCAAGCCACGUCCAACGAGCGAGCCAACAAGCACAAUCAAUGCAAGCUUUGCACGAUGCAAGUGUGCAUCAACCAAUUUCUUUAUCAUACACACCGCCAAUGCAACAAUACAUUACAACACCACAAAGAGUCCAUGCCACGAGCCAAUACGUGACGAAAGAUGAUAUGAUCAAUGUGAUCAAUCAGGCAGACAUCCCGACCUUCAGAGUUAGACAUUACUCCACCCUACCCGGCACAUAUUCGGAGACAACCUUACCCGUCAGGGUAUAUUGAACAUCCCCCGCAAUUUCCAAAAUACAAUGAGGAGAAAGGAAAUGUCAGGGAACACAUUGCCAGGUUCGUGGAGUCGAUGUCUCCAUGGUUAGGAUAUGAUUAAAUGAACAAUCACAAUUUGUUGAUGAGGGAAUUCAACAAGACUUUGACGGAUAAUGCCUUCAGUUGGUACUACAACUUGGAGAAGGGAUCAGUCCAUGAUUGGGAUGAUUUAAAAUUGCAAUUUUUUAAAAAAAAUUCUAUGUGCAGAAACAGGUAACCACCGUAGAGCUCAUGCGAUUCAAGCAGAAGCCAAACGAGGAGCUGUCAGAUUACGUGGAUAGGUUCAGGGCCCAAACACAAAAGUGUGCAGAGCCAAUUGAAGAAAAGAACUUGGUUAACAUGCAACAAUGGUGCUUUAGACGCCUUCAAGCCCCACCUCAUUACCAAAGCUUGUGAUUCAUUUGCGACCCUCUCAUCUUUUGCACGAGACUUGGGAGGAAUCAUGACAUUGCCCACCAGCCAUGCGAUGGUUACAUGGAAGGGCAAGAGGACAGCAGCUGUGGCUUUGGCGGAUUCUCAGUCAAAACCACAAGGGAGCAAGAGGGAAAAGAAUGAGAAAUUUGAACGAAGCAGAGAAAAGCAUGGGGACAAGUAUACCAGAAUGCCAGUUUCAGAGGCUAUCACAUGCAGCGAAAAGGCAUUCAGAAGCCUGUACGAACAAUGGGUUAAGCACGGAGUGGUGAAGCCUCCAAGGCCUCGGCUGGUUGUAACGGAAGAGAUGAAAAGAAGACCGGACUUCUGUGUAUACCACCAAUACGCAGGACAUUCCACUAUGGACUGUUAUAGCCUGCGAAGGAUAUACCAUGAGAAGCUGGCGACCGGGGAGAUUGAACUAGGAGAAGAAACGUGCAACACUAUCACCCAUAGUGUAGUCCCGGAAGUCAAGAACCCAAAUACUGGCUUUACCAUCGAAAAAACUAUGAACUACAGAUGAAUUAAAAAUCCACCCAAGAUGGUGGUCCACCAAAAAUGGUGGUUUAAGUCCUCAGGAGUAUCCCUUGCCAAGUAAUUGGAUGACCAAGGGAGGAGGCACAAGAAUUGACGAAUUAAAAAAAAAAUACACCAAAGAUGGUAGUCCACUCUAAAUGGUGGUCAACUCCUCGUAGACUGCACUUGCUAAGAAAUUGGACGACCCAAGUGACGAGGCACCCGAUUUUAAGUCCUCGUAGACUGCACUUGCCAAGAAAUUGGACGACCCAAGUGACGAGGCACCUGAUUUCAAGUCCUCGUAGACUGCACUUGCCAAGAAAUUGGAUGACCCAAGUGACGAGACACAUGAUUUUAAGUCCUCGUAGACCCUUGCCAAGAAAUUGGACGACCCAAGUGACGAGGCACCGAGUGUUACACUUUAUCAUCAAAAGUGAAUGGUGAAUAAGGCACCUAAGUAUAAGCCCUCAACCCCGAAAAAAAAGUUACACUUUAUUUCUAAAAGUGGUGAACGUUAUGUUUUUUUCGACAAAAGCAAGAAAGUUACACUUUAUCUCUAAAAGUGGCGAACGUUAUGCUUUCUUCGACAAAAGCAAGAUUUAUUAUAUGAAACGUUAUGAUUUUCGUUAAAAGCAAUUUGAUUAUCAAUGAAUUGACAAACUCACUUAUACUUGAAUGUUUUUUUUGAGUUCUUUAAAAAAAAAGGUAUGAAUUCAAGUGUUGGUUUGUGGAAAAUAUAUAUACAUGUUUUUUACAAAUUUCAUGUUUGCUUGUUUAUAAUACCUAUUGUUGUCUUGGAGUAUUAAUUUGAAUAACCUGAGAUUCGAUGAUAAAUAUUGAGUUUUAAAGAAUCAUUCAAAUUAAAGGCAAUCAAUAAGGAUAAAAGAAACUAUAAUAUGAUGAAUGAAAUAUAUGUACAUUAAUUUUCUGAUACGGGAAAUAGAAAAAACAACGAAAGUUCAUGAUCUAAAGGCCAUGACCUGUCGAAUUGAAGAGAGGAAAAUAGCUAAAGCUUGGUCUUCAAUUUAUCCAUGGCAUCUUGAAGCUCCUAAAGCUCUGCAUAAAGUAAGUCAUGCUCAUGGUGACGAGAAGUGACUUCCGAACGAAGUGCAACAACGUGAUGAUGGGAGAGAUCCAACCUAACAUGGAAGGAAGACAUGUCCAAGGAGAGUUAGGAGAUGCCACGGGAGGCAGAAGGUCAUUCAACCCACCCAAAGUGCUAUCCACAAUACCCUCCCGAGAAAUCACCAAGGAGGAUUACAUCAGCAAUAGUCUCAGAAGGAUUCCGCCUCCAAGAAGCAAGAGUCUCAUCGGCACCCUCAAAACUGUCAUGUGGAGAAGUUGUAGAAAGGCGUCAUGUGGCGAAGAAGACUCGAUACCCGCUGCCCCAUUUGCGAUACUCACAAAGAGCCCAAUGGGAAAAUCAUCAUCAUCUUCAUUAGCAAUGGUCUUCGACUUCUUGAUUCUAAAGAAAAGAGAAAUUUCAAGAGAAGGUAAGAAGGAUUACAUCGAAGAUUUUCCAAAAUUUCCCAGGAGAACUCCUUUAAGGCUCGCUCUCCUAAGGUUUUCUCCCCUAGAGGUUCCCUCUCCUAGGACUUUUUCGUUUUCGAGGCUUGCAAAACAUCAAACCCCGCGAAGUGUUCAAACACUGGAAUCAAGACUUCAAUACUUAAAAUAUUUUGCGCGAUCAUCUCACCUAAGGCGUGACUAACGCGCAGGGGGCAAAUGCUUACUGGUAGAUUGGUAGAUGACAUAGACAUCCUCCAGAGUAGAGGUGCAUUCCCCCCAAGCCGUGACGAAUGUGCAUGUAGAGGAGCAUCAUGGUCCUGUUGGAUAUGAAUGUCCCUACAUAGCUUGAUGUAAUGAAGAAUGUUCACAUAAUCAACAUUCCCAAGUAUCUCGUCGAUCCAAUGAUGCCAUUCCUGAAGGAGGCUAGAUGAAUCAGACAAGAAGUGAAAGGAACUGAAAGGGUACUCUUGUUUCUCUAUGCAUAGACGGAGAAUGUGAUCAGAAUGGGGAAAGUCAGUCCAACCUCCACAAGCCGCUGCAUAUAGAAAUAAGCCUUCCUUCUCUGGCGGAGGAAGAAUUGUACGGUCAUAAGUUUGGACCUGCUUCCAAAAGACGUCGAAAAGACCAAAGGAGGGGAGCCAUUCCCCAAUCAUUGAGAAACGGGAUCUCCUUGGUUGUUCCCAGGUCUACAAAAUAUUCAAUCGAGAGGGCCUGCAAGCAAGGGAAGUUCAUUAUAAGAAUUCUAAAGAAAGCAAAGAAAGGAUGUCAAGUAUAAAGUGAUUGAGCUCGAAGUGCUCACCAUGACAAAGAGGAAAGUCUGAGAUUUAAGCUUCAAAACACCUGAAAAGAAGAAGAAACAAUGUCAGAAAGAGUUAGGAAUCAUAAUUAUGGAAGAAACAAAAUUCCCGAAAAUUUUUGAAAAACUUCAGACGGCCAAAAGGCAUCCUUCGGAGCCUUUUGUGGACUUAUAACGGCAUACAUCAUGGCCGUUGGCGAUGACUUUUGUAGGGUUCAUCGCUAGCUUUGUUUUGAUAUAUUAUGGGCUCCGAAACUCCAAACGAGUCAAAAGUUAUGAUCAAAAUUGUAACUGCUCCUCCAAAACUUCAUUUUUUUCAUUUAAACUUCAAUUACUCUAUAGGGUUCGGCCAUGUUGGGUUGUUCCUUUCAUUUCUUAAAAAAAAAGGACAUGUUGGCUUCGGCCACCUAGGGGUUGUUCUUUUCAUCCCUUAAAAAAAACAGCCCAUGUUAGUCAUUUCUUUAAAAAAAGGCCAUGUUGGCUUCGGCCACCUAGGGGUUGUUCCUUUCAUCCCUUAAAAAAAAAAAAAAAUACCAUGUUGGCUUCGGCCCCAUAGGGCUCGGCCAUGAUGGCUUCGACCACCUAGGGGUUGUUCCUUUCAUCCCUUAAAACAAAAACAAAAAAUCAUCUAUAGGGUUCGACCAUGUUGGCCUCGACUACCUAGGGGAUGUUCCUUUUCAUACCUUCUAGGUCUUGUUGCUCCACGAAUCAACUGCUUGGAACGAAUCCUCUUUCGCCACGAAAAUUAUAACCUUCCUCUGAUGAAUUCCGAGAGAAAAAACUAAGAUAUGAUCAAGGUAAUGGGGCUCGAAAAAUAGAAGAAAGGCUACAAUUACCAGGAAUAUAUAUAUAUAUAUAUAUAUAUAUAUAUAUAUAUAUAUAUAUAUAGAUGAAACAAUUAUGAGGAGUUCAGAAAAUCAAAGGUCUUCCAAUCCAAGGAGCAGUAUAAUUUUUGUAACCUCACGCAAAUAUUCUUGAUCCUUGAUCCUUGAUCCAUAGCGUGCGUAAGAAAGGUUCGGGAGUGGAGGCUUAUAAUGUGGCAAUUUAUAUAAGCUGCAUAUAUAUCACAAGAAGUUUACAAGCCCAACUAUUGGAUAAUUGCCUGCAAGCAUCACUUGGCCUAAUCAUGUAUACAUAUGGAGUUAAACUUUGUUGGCUAGUAGGGGAGUAGCAUGUACAGCUUCAAUAGGGGUCCCUUCUUAUUGCAAAUAACACCCAAGUAAUGCGGCAACAGAACUGCCCACUGCAAUUCGGAUGCAAGACAUUCGGCCGUGGAUUAUGAAUAUCGACUUCUUACUUCUCCAAAUCAAGAUUAAAAAAAUAAGGAAACAAAUCUUGGACAAAUUAUGGAAAGAUUUUUGGAGGAUUUCCCAAUAUAUCCAAGGAAGAGCCCUGCCAGGGUUUGGCUCCCUAGGGGUUCCCUCUACUAGGAUCAUUGUCUUCAAGACUUGUAAAGUGAAGUCCAGCAAAAUUGUUCAAAGGCUUGAAGUAUUCUUGCACAAUCGUCUAUUUGGGAAUGCGACUCUUGUGCAGGAGGCAAAUGUGGGCCCAAGUGCAAAAUUAGGAUUCACAUGAAUUAAUUGAAUUAAAUGUGCAAUUAGGGUUCCACGACCUCAUUAAAUGUGCAAAUUAGGGUUCGUAUAACCUAAUAGAAUGAAGACAGAAAAGUCGAAAAUAAAUGUGCUAGACCCGGGAGAAGCCUCCACGUGUUCUGAGGCAGAAGGCUCGUGGAGGCGGCUCGUUUUGGGAAUUGAUUGAGGGGUUGGAUAGGUGACUAGAAGGACAGGACAAUCUGGGCAUUACUCUGAUGAUUAAAAGGUAUUUCUGGAAUUUUUCACAUGACCACUUUUCAGAAAACCUAUAAAUACCCCUUCCAUUCUAUUGGGAAGGGGACAUCUCUUCAGACACAGGACUUGGACUCUUGGAAGAUCAAAGGACCUGAACAUUCUCUCUUAACACUCAGGAAGACUCUUGGAAUCCCAAUAAUCCUAAUAAGGUUUCCGAAUUCUAGGGGUGGAAGGACUCAAGAAGAAGGCUCUUGGAAUCCCAAUAACCCUAACACGGUUUCUGGAUUCUAGGAGUUCUGCCACGCGUCAUUGGAAUAAUCGUCCACCUGUCGUUCUCCCCUCUUCAAUCAAUC
rnacentral:lncRNA from 1 species